AAUCCUCCAUCUGCUGGGGACAAAUAAAGUGGAUAUGACUGUCCAUACCUCCAGCAGUAAGGAUGCGCCCUUCACCCGCGAUUACUUCGGUGCCAGGGCCAACGAUGAUAUCGACGCCUGAUUGCGUGUCGGGGUUGCCUGCCUUGCCAAUGGCAUGGAUCAAUCCAUCUUUGAGCGCCACAUCCGCUUUGUAGAUGCCAGAGUGAUCAACGAUCAGCGCAUUGGUGAUUACGGUAUCUACCGCGCCUCCAGCACGGGUGACUUGCGAUUGCCCCAUCCCGUCACGGAU
rnacentral:sRNA from 1 species